rnacentral:tRNA from 1 species
GCGAAAGUGGCGGAACUGGUAGACGCGCCAGACUUAGGAUCUGGUGGCUAUGCCGUGGGGGUUCGAGUCCCCCCUUUCGCA